AAUAGAUACCCCGGUAGUCCACGCCGUAAACGAUGAGUGCUAAGUGUUAGAGGGUUUCCGCCCUUUAGUGCUGAAGUUAACGCAUUAAGCACUCCGCCUGGGGAGUACGGCCGCAAGGCUGAAACUCAAAGGAAUUGACGGGGGCCCGCACAAGCGGUGGAGCAUGUGGUUUAAUUCGAAGCAACGCGAAGAACCUUACCAGGUCUUGACAUCCUCUGACAACCCUAGAGAUAGGGCUUCUCCUUCGGGAGCAGAGUGACAGGUGGUGCAUGGUUGUCGUCAGCUCGUGUCGUGAGAUGUUGGGUUAAGUCCCGCAACGAGCGCAACCCUUGAUCUUAGUUGCUAUCAUUAAGUUGGGCACUCUAAGGUGACUGCCGGUGACAAACCGGAGGAAGGUGGGGAUGACGUCAUAUCAUCAUGCCCCUUAUGACCUGGGCUACACACGUGCUACAAUGGACGGUACAAAGAGCUGCAAGACCGCGAGGUGGAGCUAAUCUCAUAAAACCGUUCUCAGUUCGGA
rnacentral:rRNA from 1 species